AGUUAAAAUAAAGUUGGGAGGCGGGACAGAACAGCACUGGAGGCAGCCUACAAGAAAAGAGUCAUUAAUUAAGACAAUUUCAAAGUCAACUGAUUGUGAUCAUUAAUGUCACAAUAGAUCAAAACCUAAUUAUCACAGCCUAGGUAAGAGCCAUCAGUAUUAAUCAGACAGUCUAAUAGGAAACUAUUAUCAAGAAAUUAGGUCAAAUUGAAUGCAAUGAACUUUUUAUCUUGCCAUUCUAUGUGUUUUGUGUGUAUGAUGUCCCCUGGCAUUGGCAGGUGUGACCCUCACCGUUGAUCCGGGCCCCAGUGGCCAGUCUGUUACACUUUGAGGAGUUCCAAACACACACUGAAUCUGAACUGUCAUUGCCACUGUAAUCGGUCUUGAACUUUAUCAUUUGGAUUUGUUUGGUGUGAUCAGCAAUCAAUGAAAAGAGGUUUAUAUUUAGGUCUUGGAAUGGUUGGUCCUUCCCGGAAGUAGAGUAUCCCUGUUGAACAUAUACUGUGUGUGUUGAUAAAUCAUUCUUUGAGCUUCUGAUGUAUGUAGAGCUUGCCGCUCUGGCUACUGCAAGAAGGUAUGGGUAAGAGUCUUAUGACUAGUUAUAGAGAAUGCUUUAUCCCCCCCUCCCUGAAAUGAAAGGUAGGGGGGUCACCAUUUUUAUUCUUAAUCUUGAGCUGUUUGUGAAGAUGCCGCAAAUCCAGAAGUUGAGCCGAGUCUAGAGAGGUUGGUAAGCUUCUGUCUUCUAGGAUUGUCUUCUAGAAGCUGCAAGAGGGAGGCUGGUGGUGCUGGGGCUCCUGUGCUCCUAGUUCAGCCUGGAGAUGAUGUGGCUGCUGUCACCAUUCCUGUCAGCCUUUCCCCGCCAGCCGUGCAGUUCAGAGCACUCCCAAGACCACCGCUGGGGGAUGGUUCUCUUCCUGGUGGAGUGUGGUCUUACUUCCUUCUGGAUUUUAGGAAUUUGGAUUACUCAGUGCACAACUUUGGGAAAUCAGUGUGACUUAGUCCUUCACCUCAUUAUUUUAAAUGUAGUUUUAUUUUCAAAACAUCUGUUAACACACGGCUUGCAGAAGCAGUUUGUUUCUCCAAGAUCCCUCACAUAUGCUAGACACAUAAUAGCCCUCAGUCCAUGUGGCUGGCUUGAGUUGACCCAGUUUGCAGAGCAAUGUGUACUUACCUGGCUCCCUUUUGCUCCCAAGUGCACUCUAAGAAAUCAGAUGCUCAGGGGGAAGGAAUAAGAAUUGAGUGGAUGCUGACUACGUGUGCCAAGCUCCUUGACUGGUUCAUAAUGGCUGACCUUGGGCAAGUCACUCCUUUCAAUGCCUCAGUUCCCCAUCUGUCAAAUGGGGGUAAUAAUACUGACCUACCUCACAGGGGUCUUGUGAGGCAUUGUAAAUCGAAGUUGAUAGAAUGCUUUAGGGUCCUCAGUGGAGGAUGCUUUGAGCCUAAGUCCAGGCCUAACAUAGGCUUUAGUCCUCACUGAUUGCCCCCACGUUGGAACUCAGAAAGUUUUCUGCCCCCCACCCCUCAUCAAAGCUGCUAGUUCAGAUGUUGAUAGUGUUUUUGUGAAUGUUGGAGUCUUUAUAGUCCAGAUUUAGGAUGUUCGGGGGGAAGGCACUUAGUAUUUUCUGUAUCUCGCAUCCACAGAGAGGCUGUUUCAGACCCCAGAGCAUUGGAUUCGGGGAUCACCGGGCAGGGGAGCUAUUGCGUAUUUUUCUCUACAGGUGGGAACUGAGGUCCCGUGCCCCAGCGACUCGGAACAGACUCGAACUAUCUCAGAAGCAAAGGAAAGACGUUGGUUUGAUUUAUAUAUUGUUGCUUAUCACUCCCCGAACUGACUCCCAGACACCUGGGACACUGCACCCAAGCCUCCACCUCCCCACAGAAGCCACCUGGUUUGAAAAACAACCACUUCCUCCAGCCCUCACCAAAAAGAGCCACAUUGGGAGAUUUUUUCCUAGAGGAGUGUUUCAUACUCGGAAUUGGGCACUGAUAUGCUUUAGACUAGAGCUUCAUCCAGUCACUGCGUUCAGCAUCACGGUGUCCACAGUGAAUCCGACCGGCUUUUUCCUGUAGUUUGGGAGAAUCUUGGAUACUUUGUAUUUACCCAGGUGUGGCUGGCUUGAGCCUUACUCUCCAUCUCACGUUAGGGGCUCACCCCGCUCCUCUUCCCAAUAGGGCUCUUUCUCCUUUCCCCCUCCUUGGCCCUGGAUGUGUAACCCAUGAAAGAGCACAAGGUCCUAGCCUCCUGCCGCAGUCACAUUCCGGCUCUCCGUGUUGUGUGGGCUCUGCUCCUGUCCGCCCAGCACCGGGGCAGACGCUCUGGAGUUCUGGAGGACAAGAGAGCAUGUCUGACAUCCUGCCCAGUAGCCAGGCGUUGAUUCACCAUGGCCCACAGAUGGGAUCUAAGAGACUCAAGAGGCUGGGUUUUAAGCACUGUACCAUCCUGAGGAGCAACACAAAUCAUACUUUGUAGCCAGAUUUCUGAAUGGAAAAUGGGAAAUUGAAUUCUCUCUGGACUUACUGGUUUGUGGGGGAGUGUUGGUUGUGUUUCGCGGUUUUAUUUCAGCCAAAUAUGUCUGCUUUUGAUUUUUAAUUUUUUUUUUAGAAUAAGUGAGAUAUAUAUAUAUGUUCACCUUUUAAAUGUAAAUGUUCCAAAGUAGGCAAUUUAUGUGUUUUCACAACUGACAUCCAAUGCAGACCUCAUUCUCUCCCCCUCUUCUACCCUCCUGUUUUCCCUCUUUUCAUACUCUUGUAUUGAUUCUAAUAAAAUGGUUGCUUUUCAAA